rnacentral:rRNA from 1 species
UAAUACGGAGGGUGCAAGCGUUACUCGGAAUCACUGGGCGUAAAGGACGCGUAGGCGGGUUGUCAAGUCUGAUGUGAAAUCCUAUGGCUCAACCAUAGAACUGCAUUGGAAACUGGCAACCUAGAGUAUGGGAGGGGGAGAUGGAAUUAGUGGUGUAGGGGUAAAAUCCGUAGAUAUCACUAGGAAUACCCAAAGCGAAGGCGAUCUCCUGGAACAUUACUGACGCUAAGGCGUGAAAGCGUGGGGAGCAAACGGGAUUAGAUACCCCGGUAGUCCACGCCCUAAACGAUGAACACUAGUCGUCGCUCUGCUAGUCAGGGCGGUGAUGCACUUAACAGAUUAAGUGUUCCGCCUGGGGAGUACGGUCGCAAGAUUA